rnacentral:rRNA from 1 species
GCGGGUUGCGCAGGUCUCCCUGGGUAACUACCACCCUUUCGUUUAUUACACUUUGUUGCUUUGGCAAGCCUGCCCUCGGGCUGCUGGCUCCGGACCGGCGAGCGCUUGCCAGAGGACCUAAACUCUGUUUGUCUAUACUGGUCCUGACUACUAUAUAAUAGCUCUAAAACCUUUCAACAACGGAUCUCUUGGUUCUAGGCAUCGAUCGAAGAAUCGCACGCCGCAAAUGUCGACUAAGUAACUGCUGAAUUGCAUGACAUUCAGUGAAUCAUCGCAAUCUUUGAACGCACAUUGCGCCCCCUGGUAUUCCGGGGGGCAUGCCUGUCCGAGCGUCAUUACAAACCUCAAGCUCAGCUUGGUGUUGGGCCCCGCGCCCCGGCGGGCCCUAAAGUCAGUGGCGGUGCCGUCCGGCUCCGAGCGUACUACUUCUUCUACGCUCUGGAGCGUCCGGUCGUGUGCUCGCCAGCAACCCCGUUUUUUUUCAGGUUGGGCUCGGAUCCGUAAGGAUUCCGGUUAAC